rnacentral:rRNA from 1 species
GCUUAUCACCAUUCCAGAUUGAAUAUACCCGAUCUCGUCUGAUCUCGGAAGUCAAGCAAUCUCGGGCUUGAUUAGUACUUGGAUGGGUGACC